rnacentral:lncRNA from 1 species
CACCUCUUUCCUCUCUCUGUCUUCCUCCUACACCUGCCAUAUGGAACAUCUCAUUGUCGCUUGGCCUUCUGGUAUGGUAGGAGACUUCCUGAGUCCUCCCAGAAGCAGAAGCCACUAUGUUCCCUUUACAGCCUGCAGAACCGACAGUGCCGCCUGCAUCCCUGCAGCUCCAGCUCCAGCUCCAGCCAUGGCUGAAAGAUGCAC